rnacentral:rRNA from 1 species
GACAUAGGUCGCGAACGUUAUCCGGAAUUACUGGGCGUAAAGGGCGCGUAGGUGGCCAACUAAGUCAGACGUGAAAUCCCUCGGCUUAACCGGGGAACUGCGUCUGAUACUGGAUGGCUUGAGUUUGGGAGAGGGACGCGGAAUUCCAGGUGUAGCGGUGAAAUGCGUAGAUAUCUGGAGGAACACCGGUGGCGAAGGCGGCGUCCUGGACCAAUACUGACACUGAAACGCGAAAGCCAGGGGAGCAAACGGG